rnacentral:rRNA from 1 species
GCCUACGGGGGGCAGCAGUGGGGAAUUUUCGUCAAUGGGCGCAAGCCUGAACGAGCAAUGCCGCGUGAACGAGGAAGGUCUUCGGAUCGUAAAGUUCUGUUGCAGGGGAAAAAGAGCGGAGAGAGGAAAUGGUCUCCGAUUGAUAUUACCCUUCGAGGAAGUCACGGCUAACUACGUGCCAGCAGCCGCGGUAAUACGUAGGUGGCGAGCGUUAUCCGGAAUGAUUGGGCGUAAAGGGUGCGUAGGCGGCCUGCUAAGUCUGGAGUGAAAGGUACCGGCUCAACCGGUACAGGCUCUGGAAACUG